GUCUACGGUCAUACCACCCUGAACACACCCGAUCUCGUCUGAUCUCGGAAGCUAAGCAGAGUCGGGCCUGGUUAGUAUUUGGAUGGGAGAAGGGAGGAGAGAAAGACAGACACUUGUAGACC
rnacentral:rRNA from 1 species